CUAGAUAGAGACCGCCCGAGUUGUUCAUUUACCUUAGUUGCAUACCCUUUAUUAUAUCAUCUUUUGUAUCUCGAUGACGAACUUACCUUAAUGAAUGAUGUAAGGGAUAUUUACUUUAAAUGUCAAAAGUUAUAUUUUGGGUGAAAUGAGAUGUAAAAAGAAAUGAUGCAAAGUUGUAAUAGAUUCUAUAGGUGUAGUUGUUUACUUUCACUCUUGGCUAUUGCUUGCCCUCGUGCAAGCCAUUGUGUAUGCUUCCGCUUAUGCAAUUUCUAUACUCUAUCUGUACCUGUUGUUGAGCCUUGGGCGGACGGGGGAGGCUCUGUCCGUUCGGCGUCUGUUUCACACUCUCGAAUCGGCCAAAAGGAUCGGGUUCGGGGCGUGACAUCCACACUCCAAAACCUCGGGAACGUAGGUGGAAAUCCCAGAGAGGAAGAAGAGAGAGAAUAAUGGAAUAUUUAAUUAAUUCGAAUAUUAAUCGUUUCAGAUGGAGAAACAAGGGGAAAUAUACAUAGAAUAACGGAACCCCUAAAUAUCCUGAAUCUCACAAAGAAAUUAGGAUAAGAACUAGGAUAUGAUAGAUAUCCUCUAGUAGAUAUGUUUCUUAACUGAUAAGAAACAUAUAAUUUAUUAUUAUCCUAAACCUAUUAGGAUAAGUCCUAAUCCACAUCCUAAGUGGAUUGGGUUAAAUUAAGACCCGCCAAUGUGGACACACCACAUGGCUACACACCAAAUAAUAGUUCCUAUGAUAUAUAAACUAAUUAGGCCGGUGGUUUGCAAUAAAUGGACUAAAAAAAAUAGUUUGGAAAAAAUCAAUCGCAUUAUAAAAUAAGCAAAAAACAGCAAAAUAUGCAGACAUAUCACUAAAACAUAUUUUCAUUGGCCUCAACUUCUUUCUAAAUUAUUGCAAAUAGCUUAUACCAAAAUCAUUAAAAAAAAAAGCAGGUAAUGAAUUUAAUUUACAACAAUUAACUAAAAAUAAUCUCCAAUAUCAUUUUUAUUAUCCCAAUUCAAAUGCCAAAUAAAUCAACAUAGUAUAGUACAUAUCACCAAAACAUAACUUU
rnacentral:lncRNA from 1 species